rnacentral:lncRNA from 10 species
UCUCCACACUUGCACACUGAAGAACGCAACAUCAUGAUUAACUUUUUAAAGGAAUAUUACAAAAAUCACAGCAUCCGAAAAUUUUUUGGUCAUUGCAAUGAUCUUGAUCAGGCAAUGAGAAAAUAAAUCCUUGAAGAAUGAGUACAUGGAAAAGAGGACCAAGAGCAGAGACUAUGGCAAUUUGAUGCAAGAGACUUUUUUUUUUUUUUUUUGAGACGGA